rnacentral:lncRNA from 1 species
AGCUAGCAGUGACAUGUUAGCCAGAGAGGUCAGUCAGGGACAGGGAGGUCGGUACAGGCUGGUAGGUAGAUGGUUAUCAUGAGGAAGCUACACACUGCGGGGCCCUACCCUGAUGGGGUGGCCAAGCAGUAGCCAGGAGGUAGGUACUUCCAAAACCUGUAGUCUAGCCCAGAAAGCAAGAUAAGCUUUUGGUAAGAAAUUGAAAGCAGGGCUACUCUUGCUAGCCUGGCAGGCAAGCAAGGCUCAAGGACAAGGCCUUACUGCCCUCUCUCCUCUCCUCCCUCCCCUUUCCCUUUCCCUUGCCUGUGUACAAAACUUGAUGUGACAACAAGCAAUAAAGGCCAUCCUCCUUCCCCUCUACCCCACUCCAUUCUACUAGCUUGCUUCCAUCCAUGUCCCAGAGGAGGAGGAGGAGGAGGAGGAGGGAGGGAGGGAGGGAGGGAGGGCUCUGCCACCUUUGCCUGCCCAGUCCAGGGUGUGAGAUGGGUGGGUAAGCAAGCAACCAAG